UGGCGAAAGCUAAUUGCAAAUAUCGACUCUGUCGAAUAAAAUUCUAGGUAGAUUUAUGAUAAUGACAUUAUCUGCCUAUGUGUCUUGACCAAAUUACGUGCCAGCAGUCGCGGUAAUACGUAGAAGACUAGUGUUAUUCAUCUUUAAUAGGUUUAAAGGGUACCUAGACGGUAAAUCAAGCACUAAUUUACUAGAGUUACUUAUGAGGGGGUAUUAAAGUACUGCUGGUGUAGAGAUGAAAUUCUGUGAUACCUCUUUUCGAUGGCACAGGUA
rnacentral:rRNA from 1 species